GACGAACGCUGGCGGCAUGCCUAAUACAUGCAAGUCGAGCGAACAGAUGAAGUGCUUGCGCUUCUGACGUUAGCGGCGAACGGGUGAGUAACACUUAAGGAAUCUACCUAUAAGCGGGGGAUAACAUUCGGAAACGGGUGCUAAUACCGCAUAAUAUCUUCUUCCGCAUGGAAGAAGAUUGAAAGAAGGCUCUGCUGUCACUUAUAGAUGACCUUGCGGUGCAUUAGUUAGUUGGUGGGGUAAUGGCCUACCAAGACGAUGAUGCAUAGCCGACCUGGGAGGGUGAUCGGCCACAUUGGGACUGAGACACGGCCCAAACUCCUACGGGAGGCAGCAGUAGGGAAUCUUCCGCAAUGGGCGAAAGCCUGACGGAGCAAUGCCGCGUGAGUGAAGAAGGCCUUCGGGUCGUGAAACUCUGUUAUAAGAGAAGAACAAAUUGUAGAGUAACUGCUACAGUCUUGACGGUAUCUUAUCAGAAAGCCACGGCUAACUACGUGCCAGCCGCCGCGGUAA
rnacentral:rRNA from 1 species